rnacentral:rRNA from 1 species
UACGUAGGGGGCAAGCGUUGUCCGGAUUUAUUGGGCGUAAAGAGCGUGUAGGCGGCCAUACAGGUCAGCUGUGAAAACUCGAGGCUCAACCUCGAGACGUCGGUUGAAACCGUAUGGCUAGAGUCCGGGAGAGGAGAGUGGAAUUCCUGGUGUAGCGGUGAAAUGCGCAGAUAUCAGGAAGAACACCCGUGGCGAAAGCGGCUCUCUGGAACGGUACUGACGCUGAGACGCGAAAGCGUGGGGAGCGAACAGG